rnacentral:tRNA from 1 species
GGGAAUGUGACUGAAUGGUAGAGUGCUUGCCUUGCAUGCAUGAAGCCCUGGGUUCGAGUCCUCAGUACCA